rnacentral:rRNA from 1 species
GACGAACGCUGGCGGCGUGCCUAAUACAUGCAAGUCGAACGCAGUGGGGACGGGUGAGUAACACGUGGGUAACCUCCCAUAAGAGGGGAUAACACUUGGAUACAGGUGCUAAACCGAUACUGAUGGAUGGACCCGCGGUGGAUUAGCUAGUUGGUGGGGUAACGGCUAACCAAGGCUACGAUGCCUAGCCGGCCUGAGAGGAUGAUCGGCCACACUGGGACUGAGACACGGCCCAGACUCCUACGGGAGGCAGCAGUGGGGAAUCUUGGGCAAUGGAGGAAAGUCUGAUCGAGCCACGCCGCGUGAGUGAAGAAGGCUUUCGGAUUGUAAAGUUCUGUUGGUAGAGAAGCGGUAUCUGACGAGAAAGCCACGGCUAACUACGUGCCAGCAGCCGCGGUAAUAC